CACGGUUUGUGAGUCAGACCUAUUUAUGCAAAGCAUUUUACUAAAGCAGUCCUCAGUCCAAGCGUUAUCCUCGAUAUCACUUCCCCUGAAUCUCUUUUUUUCUUGCUCAUAAGUAUUUCCUGCGAUGCAUACCUAUAUCGCCCUCUAACGGGCUGGAAAAAAUUACGAGGUAAUAUAAUGUCUAAUAAAAUGACUGGUUCAGUAAAAUGGUUUAACGAAACUAAAGGUUUUGGUUUCAUCACUCCGGCUGACGGCAGCAAAGACGUGUUUGUUCAUUUCUCUGCCAUUCAGAGCGAUAGCUUCAAGACUCUGUACGAAGGUCAGAAAGUUGAAUUCGUUAUCGGCAACGGUCCGAAAGGUCCUUCCGCUGAAAACGUAGUAGGGCUGUAAUUUCCCGGGUAAUCAUCACUUCCGAUAGCGAAGAUGGCGUUAG
rnacentral:sRNA from 1 species